UACGUAGGGAGCAAGCGUUGUCCGGAAUCAUUGGGCGUAAAGCGCGCGUAGGCGGCCCGAUAAGUCCGCUGUAAAAGUCAACGGCUCAACUGUUGAAAGCCGGUGGAUACUGCCGGGCUAGAGUACGGAAGAGGCAAGUGGAAUUCCUGGUGUAGCGGUGGAAUGCGCAGAUAUCAGGAGGAACACCCAUAGCGAAGGCAGCUUGCUGGGACGUUACUGACGCUAAGGCGCGAAAGCGUGGGGAGCGAACAGG
rnacentral:rRNA from 1 species